CUCAGACAGACACACACUCCACCUCCUGCUAGGGACUGUUAGGGAAAAGCCAUUAACAGUGAGGAGAAACACAAAGUGCACCUUGAGAGCCGCUCAAGUGUUUGAACAAACAGCCGCCGCCACCGCCGCACAGAUCAAUGAUUUGUCUUUGCUCCAAAACACAUAAAGGGAUUGGCUGAGUUUAUGAUAAUAAAUCCCUGGAGCCGGAGGACACGACUGAGCCAUGGGAAUGCAACAGAAGGGAGCAACAUCAACCUCAUCACAGGAGAACAUGCAGCUUUGCAAAAAUAAUAAUUCACACUGUUUCUCUCUCAAGUCAGAAGAGUCUCCACAAUGCACAAAUAAUUGUGUUGACACUUGAAAGACAAAAAGGGAAAUGGGGAUUAAAUGAAGAGUUUGCACAAUGUGGAGUAGUCAAGU